ACAUUAAACAUGAAGAUGAAAUUUGGCAAUGAUGUCAGAUUUACCUCAAUGUCAUAGCAAACAGAGAUUUAACGUAUUACAACGACCAAAACAACAUACCUUAUAAAAUCCAGUCUGAAAUAAACGAAGACGUUAUCACUACCUCUUUUUACAAUACAAAGCAUAAAUGAUAAACGCUACAUAAAGCAUAGAGUAAAAUAAGAGGAUCAUUUUUCAUCCUUGAGUCGAAGAUCUUUCAAGUUGAUGACGAAUGGCUUGAGAUAGAUCCCAAUACUCUCAACGGCAGAGUCACUCACGGUGCCAUGAAAACCACCAAAAAGAUUAGAAUUUCCUAAGUGAAAGUUGAAGUGCUUAGCAUAAGUUGUAGUCUGGCCAAAUGGUCCAUAGGAACCCUUGUUGGUGGUAAAUUCAAUAGAUUCCAAACCUUCACCGUUGACAUAGGAACCACUUAUGGAAGUAAGAAACUCUGAUGGAUAAUUAAAGACAACUGCAGAGAAGUUUGCACAGUAGUGUGUGCCAUGCUUAUUUGACUGAACAAAGUUGCCAUCCUCAUACAACAGGAACUGUAGUGACUGAAUUGAGUCUUUGCUGUAGGCAACAAAAAUCCCAGCAACGUCGCCUCGUCCUUUUUCUUCCCAUGUCGAUCCAUAAUCGUUUCCCACUGCCCCAACUUUGAUCAUUUCCAUAUUCUCUCAACUCAUCUAACCACAAACAAAAUGUCUAAUCUUUUAUUAACAAAGAGACUUACACUUUGAAGUAGUGGUGGAAGGACUAAA
rnacentral:misc_RNA from 1 species